GUGGUAAAUGUGAUUUACUAGGUUGGAAACAGUUACAAAGUUCAGGCACAGAGGAUGGACAGUAUAACACAGUUACAAAGCUCAGGCACAGAGGAUGGACAGUAUAACACAGUUACAAAGCUCAGGCACAGAGGAUGGACAGUAUAACACAGCUACAAAGCUCAGGCACAGGAUGGACAGUAUAACACAGUUACAAAGUUCAGGCACAGGAUGGACAGUAUAACACAGUUACAAAGUUCAGGCACAGAGGAUGGACAGUAUAACACAGCUACAAAGUUCAGGCACAGAGGAUGGACAGUAUAUCAGGUAUCAAAUUAAAACUCCUCAUUCAAGGCAGGUAGCGAGGCUAGACAGUUCCACGCUCACAGUUCAACGAUAAAAACAAACUGCGAUGUUGGCUGAUGGAAUCAUUAAAAAUGGCAGUCAUGGUGAUGUGGCUAAUCAGUAACCUGAAACAAGCUGAAGCACCAGAUGUGGCAUAUGGAAAUUAGUGUUUGUCUUAGUUAAAUACGUUCCCAUUUGCUAUAGUGUUAUCUGUGACUGAAUGUAGGCUAGUGUAAAACCAUGCUAUAGUGUUAUCUGUGACUGAAUGUAGGCUAGUGUAAAACCAUGCUAUAGUGUUAUCUGUGACAAUGUAGGCUAGUGGAAAACCAUGCUAUAGUGUUAUCUGUGACUGAAUGUAGGCUAGUGGAAAACCAUGCUAUAGUGUUAUCUGUGACUGAAUGUAGGCUAGUGGAAAACCAUGCUAUAGUGUUAUCUGUGACUGAAUGUAGGCUAGUGUAAAACCAUGCUAUAGUGUUAUCUGUGACUGAAUGUAGGCUAGUGGAAAACCAUGCUAUAGUGUUAUCUGUGACUGAAUGUAGGCUAGUGGAAAACCAUGCUAUAGUGUUAUCUGUGACUGAAUGUAGGCUAGUGGAAAACCAUGCUAUAGUGUUAUCUGUGACUGAAUGUAGGCUAGUGUAAAACCAUGCUAUAGUGUUAUCUGUGACUGAAUGUAGGCUAGUGGAAAACCAUGCUAUAGUGUUAUCUGUGACUGAAUGUAGGCUAGUGGAAAACCAUGCUAUAGUGUUAUCUGUGACUGAAUGAAGGCUAGUGGAAAACCAUGAUAAGGACAUGAGUAUUUCCAGGGAGAAAGGCCAAGGACAGGAGUGUCUUCCUAAAAAAAGGUACAGGAGGGCACAACAAUGUAACAUUUAAGAUCACAUCAGUAUCAUCACAACCGAAUGAACGAACCCUUCGAUAAAAAGGCUGAUUAUUUCAUAAAAUAGGUCGACGAAAGUUUAAAAGAAACAUGUAACUGCCAGUCUCUUGUAUAGAGUACAACUGGGUAUAUGUGGUUAGUGUUCCGCAUGAAUUCUAGAUUCUAAUUCUAUGGUUCUGGAUCCCUGGGUUGAGAAUGUCAACCUGUACCAUGUGGUAGUUUGUACCAGGAAGUAUACUGCACGUGGAACACAAGCAAUAGAAGGUGACAAGACAGCAUGUAGGCCAAUCGGCUAGAACUGUAGGUUAAACAUCAAUACGUACCCUGGUUAAAACAUUCAACGGUUGGUCAAAAGUAGUGCACUAUAUAGGGAAUAGGGUGCUAUUUGGGAGACAACCUCCAAGGCACAUUCACUGCCUGCCUGUCAGAGGCUGAUAUCAUACUGGUGGAAAGUACAGUGCAUAGAUACAAUGUAGGGUUGGAGAACUACAGUAACUUUCUAAAACUUGACAGAUUUUUCCAGAAAUUCCAGUAGAAGAUUCCUGGGUUUUCUGCUUAUUCCCUCCCGAUUCCAGGAAUCUUACAACAGGAAUUUCUGGAAAACUGGGGAAUUUUCAGGAAGUUACAACCCUAAUACAAUGUCAUCAUCAUGAUCAUCAUAACAAAUAGGAUAUCACAUCAACAUCCUGAACAUACAUGUAUAAUGGCACUACUAGGCUUUAUCUUAAUACAUGGACUGUCUAGCCUGGUCCCAGAUCUGUUUGUGCGGUCUUGCCAACAUCUUUGGUCAUUGUCGUGCCUUGGCAUGCCAGAUCUGGGAUCAGGCUAGAGGUUAACAUUGGGAUAGCUGCAACACACAAAUGGACCAGCAGUAGAGAGAGAAGAGGAAGGGUCCCUCAUAGGACAUACAGCAACAACUCCUCCUCCAUACACUGACUGCUGCUGCAGAGAGAGACAGACAGAGGGGGUGGGGGGAGAGACACAGACAGAGGGGGUGGGGAGAGAGAGAGAAACAGACAAAGAGAGAGAGACAUAGACAAAGAGAGAGAGACAGAGACACAGAGAGAGAGAGAGAGAGAGAGAGAGAGAGAUGGUAAAUAAACAAAAUAAUUAUCAACCACACACAUAAUUAUUAUAAUUAGGAGCAUCUGACAUAUUGCCAAUUCACCAGCAUCUAUCUCAUCCAAAACCCAGACAGGAGACUGCAACAGGUGAGCGACUGGAGAAGAGAGGAGGAGGAGGAGACUGGAACAGGUGAGAGAGUGGAGAAGAGAGGAGGAGGAGGAGACUGGAACAAGUGAGAGAGUGGAGAAGAGAGGAGGAGGAGGAGACUGGAACAGGUGAGAGUGGAGAAGAGAGGAAGAGGAGGAGACUGGAACAGGUGAGCGACUGGAGAAGAGAGGAAGAGGAGGAGACUGGAACAGGUAAGCGACUGGAGAAGAGAGGAGGAAGAGGAGACUAGAACAGGUGAGAGAGUGGAGAAGAGAGGAGGAGGAGGAGACGAACAGGUGAGAGAGUGGAGAAGAGAGGAGGAGGAGACUGGAACAGGUGAGAGAGUGGAGAAGAGAGGAGGAGGAGGAGACUGGAACAGGUGAGAGAGUGGAGAAGAGAGGAGGAGGAGACUGGAACAGGUGAGAGAGUGGAGAAGAGAGGAGGAGGAG
ensembl:lncRNA